rnacentral:rRNA from 1 species
CGCCGCCGUCCCCCGCCGCCCUCCUCCGCUGUUGCCCCUCCUCUCCAUCUCCUCCCCUCGGGGCGUCACCAUGUUCCCCCGUCCAACAAGAGCCCUUCCCCUGCUACACCGUCGAGCGCAUGACUGGCGCCAAGCCCCUCAUCCUUUCCCUCUCCUCCCCAUCCUCUGGCUCCACGGAGGCCGCGGACGCGGCCGCAGUCAUCGCCGAGAGGUUCUUGCCGGACCUCUUAUACGCGUCGGAGAAGGCGAGGGCGAGGACACACGAUGUGCCCAGGCAAGACGAGGAGGCAAAACUGAGUCUCAUGGCAAGGGUGGGCAAGGUCCUGUUCCAACGGUGAGUCUUCUUCUAUGUGUCCCACCAUUUCCAGUUCUUGGAUCUCUGCUUCGUGUCACAACUCACAUAGCAUUGUGAUUAACGCGCGCCAUCACCCAUCUUUUGUGUUGGUCGAUUGCCCGCCUCCCUGGACACCGUCCGCGACCUCGCAGAGGCAGGGAUAGAAGGAUCCAAGAUCCCAGUCCGUAAAACGUUCCAUAUGAAUCUGCCCAGUGAUUUCUUGGAUGACAUGGAGUGAUUCGCUGUGGAGAGGAUGGGGCUGGAGUUCAUUUCAACAAAAGAGCACUACCAUGUCAAGGUGGUCGACAAGCAGGGAAUGGUUUCCAAGAUGUCUUGCAAAUGCACUGUGCAAGAAGAUGGGAAGCUUGCAAUCGACAAGGCAUAUGGGAAUGUUGUGCGAACAUUCUGUUGGUUUCAGACAAUUGAAAGCAGUGCUACAGUCCAAAUUUAGCCAAGUCCCCUCUUCUACGCCGGCGUCCUCCUCCGAUCUGUUGCAUCACAGUGGGACGAGUCAUGGCGAUGGUGACGGCGGCCGGCAUGCUGUGGGGCUAGCUGGUGGGGGCGGCAACGCACGACGACCGCUUGUGUUGAGGCGCACGUCCAGUGCUUGCGACAGCCAUGGAUGGUGGCGUACAAGAUCUGCGGUUGGUGCCGAUGUGCAAGAUCAACAUGACCGUUGCCGCCGCGAGAUUCAUUGUCAAGGGGAGGAAGCACAAGAAGCUUUUCUGGAUCUCGGCGAUUUCACCUCUGGUCUCAAUUAUCUUGUCCGUGGCCAUGGUCUACGCCACGAAGGGGACAAGCACGGCGUGAAGAUCAUCCACGAGGUGCAUGACGGCCUGAACUCGGGCUCCGUCAAGCAGAUAUAGCUCAACGGCACCUACACCGCUGAAUUCGCCAAGAUCACCAUCAUCUGCGCAGUUAUUGUGCUCAUGGAAGCCAUUGCUGUUGGACAAUCUUUCGCCACGGUUAGAUGGUACAAGCUCGAUGCCGAACACCGGCCAUACAAGUCACACGGAUCGAUAUGUCCUUCCUCUGCUUCAUCAAUGCGACUUUCAUCAAAGAAAGGAUCAUGGAAUGGGUAAGGGCUGAAGUGGAUACAUCCAAUGAGAAGGUCAGGGAAAGGGUGCAAUCAGUUGUCUUUGACAUGUCAAACGUGGUGAACAUUGACACUUCAGGACUCGUGGGAUCGGAAGAAAUUCACAAGGAUCUAGCAUCCCUGGGCAUACAGUUUCACAGGAACAAGUCAGUGGCAGUAAAAGUUGAAGCUCCUUAGUCAGGUUUGUUCAGGUGAGUACCUUUCCUGAUACAAGAAUUAGCACUGAGAAUGUUUUUAGAGGUAAACUAGCACUGAGAUUUCUGUAUAUUUACAAGCAAUGGGGCAUACAUUAGUUGCUUGUUUGACAUUAAUCGAGUUUAAUGUAUACUCAUAGAUUUGUCGUACACGUACAAAUAUGUAGUCACCUGAAUGAACAUCCUACGCGUAUUGUACAUGACCGGUACGGCGGCCCUGACGGGGAGCGAGAACCACCACUGGAACGCAGCAGUGAGCCCCUUGGUGAAGACCUGCGCGGAGAGCAGGAACGUGUGCGGGGCCGCGGCGGCGAUCCCCGUGGUGUCCCCGGACCGGAGGCCGUCGAGGAUGUAGAGCGCCGGGAGCGCGGCACCGACGAGGAACCCACCCAUGAUGUGCGUGGUGAGGAGGAGGCGCUCGGGGCCGAGGAAGAUGGGCGCAAACGGGUUGGGCUUCCCGGGGCGCUGCGGGAAGGUGAUCGUGGCCAGGUGGAGUAGGUAGGGGAGGAGCAGGCCGAUCGAUCGAACCGUAAGAAAAGAAAUCUAAAUUCUAUUAUAUUUCUGCGGUUAUUUUCAAUUUCGAUGGUGGAAACGAUUUAAGGAUAAGUUGGAGGAAUGCCUCGAAGAUGUUUUAUAAGCUUUAAAAAAAGUGGGUGGUUUGAGGUAGUGCAUCAUUUGCCUUUUAUCUGAACACUUGCAGCCAAAUUUUUUAUCGCACUGUGAGUUGUUUUGUGCACAUGCUGCGUUCUGUGUAGAUAUGGAUGAGAAACUUCCGUGCCUACAACAUUAUUUGUGUCUGACCCUGUCCGAGGAUCCUGUGGCAUGCUCUGAUUUGUUUCAGAGUGUGGAUGUUCCAAUGCUGUGCAUCGUGUGCUUCCGAGGCAGCAGAAGGUUGUACACAUAUGAACGUCUAUGGGUGAAGAUAUCCUACCAUAUCUAGAACCUGUUUGAUAUGCAGAUUAGUCAAGCUUUUGCAGAGCAGUCCUCAUAAGCUGCAAGAUACAUGCAUGCUGCUGUAGAACAGGAUUUUAUCCCAUAUCCAGAGAAGGUUCUUGAAAUGAGGAAAGGCUUUAUUGUGCUCGGCAAGGAUGAUGAUUUUUGUGGAUGAGCUAGGACUAGCAACAGCAGUUGGCGGAACCAGGAUGGAAGUCAUAUUGCCUCCUUUUAUUGAAGCUGCUAUUUCAGGUUUUGGAUUGGAUUAUAGCGAGCUAAUGUAGUACUAAGGGAUAGAGACAACAAGGUCCACCUAGACCAUAAAUCACAUUGUUUGUGACAUCAGCACAUCCAAUUGUAACCGUAGUCCCUCAUUUGUAUGACGUUACAGCCAACAUUUAACACCCACUGUUCGUAAUAUAUACAUGAUAUCCCC